UACGAAGGGGGCUAGCGUUGCUCGGAAUUACUGGGCGUAAAGCGCACGUAGGCGGAUCUUUAAGUCAGGGGUGAAAUCCUGGAGCUCAACUCCAGAACUGCCUUUGAUACUGAGGGUCUUGAGUUCGGGAGAGGUGAGUGGAACUGCGAGUGUAGAGGUGAAAUUCGUAGAUAUUCGCAAGAACACCAGUGGCGAAGGCGGCUCACUGGCCCGGUACUGACGCUGAGGCACGAAAGCGUGGGGAGCAAACAGG
rnacentral:rRNA from 1 species